rnacentral:rRNA from 1 species
UCGGCUGGGAGUACGUAGCAAGAAUGAAACUCAAAGGAUUGACGGGACCCGCACAAGCCGUUGAGCAUGUGUUUAAUUCGAAGCAACGCGAACAACCUUACCAAAUCUUGACAUCCCUCUAAAAACGUGUGUAAUGCAUGAACCCUUCGGGGGAGAGGAGACAGGUGGUGCAUGGUUGUCGUCAGCUCGUGUCGUGAGAUGUUGGGUUAAGUCCCGCAACGAGCGCAACCCGUAUUUUUAGUAGCCCAGCGGUCCGGCCGGGCACUCUAGAAAGACUGCCAGGGUUAACCUGGAGGAAGGUGGGGAUGACGUCAAAUCAUCAUGCCCCUUAUGAUUUGGGCUACACACGUGCUACAAUGGCGUAAACAAAGAGAAGCGAGCCUGUGAGGGGGAGCAAAUCUCAAAAAUAACGUCUCAGUUCGGAUUGUAGUCUGCAACUCGACUACAUGAAGCUGGAAUCGCUAGUAAUCGCGAAUCAGAAUGUCGCGGUGAAUACGUUCCCGGGUCUUGUACACACCGCCCGUCACACCAUGGGAGUCGGAAAUGCCCGAAGUCCGUGACCCAACCGCAAGGAGGGAGCGGCCGAAGGCAGGUCGGAUAACUGGGGUGAAGUCGUAACAAGGUAACCUAAUCU